GUCCACGCCGUAAACGAUGAGAACUAGACGUCGGAGGGGUCUGCUCUUCGGUGUCGUAGCUAACGCGCUAAGUUCUCCGCCUGGGGAGUACGGCCGCAAGGUUGAAACUCAAAGGAAUUGACGGGGCCGCACAAGCGGUGGAGCAUGUGGUUUAAUUUCGAUGCAACGCGAAGAACCUUACCUGGUCUUGACAUCCUCGGAACCCUACCAGAGAUGUGGGGGUGGCCUUCGGGAGGCCGAGAGACAGGUGGCUGCAUGGCUGUCGU
rnacentral:rRNA from 1 species